CUGGAAUUACCUCAUUUCUGAUUUUGUAAUAAUCAGACAAGCUAGACAUUUGUUAUAAUAAGAUCAUGCAUGUGUGACCCUGACCUGAUUCUAUAUCCACUUAGGUAUGGUUUUUGUCCUUUCUGCAUAGCC